GACGAACGCUGGCGGCGUGCUUAACACAUGCAAGUUGAACGGAAAGGCCCCUUUGGGGGUACUCGAGUGGCGAACGGGUGAGUAACACGUGAGUAACCUGCCCUUGACUUCGGGAUAACUUCAGGAAACUGGGGCUAAUACCGGAUAGGAAUCCUUGCUGCAUGGUGGGGGUUGGAAAGCUUCGGCGGUUUUGGAUGGACUCGCGGCUUAUCAGCUUGUUGGUGGGGUAGUGGCUUACCAAGGCUUUGACGGGUAGCCGGCCUGAGAGGGCGACCGGCCACAUUGGGACUGAGAUACGGCCCAGACUCCUACGGGAGGCAGCAGUGGGGAAUAUUGCACAAUGGGCGGAAGCCUGAUGCAGCAACGCCGCGUGCGGGAUGACGGCCUUCGGGUUGUAAACCGCUUUCAGCAGGGGCGAAGCUUGUGGUGACGGUACCUGCAGAAGAAGCACCGGCUAACUACGUG
rnacentral:rRNA from 1 species